rnacentral:rRNA from 1 species
UACGUAGGUGGCAAGCGUUGUCCGGAAUUAUUGGGCGUAAAGCGCGCGCAGGUGGUUUAAUAAGUCUGAUGUAAAAGCCCACGGCUCAACCGUGGAAGGUCAUUGGAAACUGUUAAACUUGAGUGCAGGAGAGAAAAGUGGGAUUCCUAGUGUAGCGGUGAAAUGCGCAGAUAUUAGGAGGAAUACCGGCGGCGAAGGCGACUUUCUGGUCUGCAACUGACGCUGAUGUGCGAAAGCGUGGGGAUCAAACAGG